CUUCUCCGCUACCCCGCCCUCCUUAAAGGGGCAGCAUCUUAAAGGCUGAGACGGCUUCUGGGUGGACCCGCGUCUUGCAGCCUUCUCAUUUUACAGAUGGAAAACUGAGGCUUGUCCAAGAUCACACAAAACUGAAAGUGAGAAGAUAGUCACCUAUGGACCAGAAAGCAGGCCCUCACCAAACUUCAAACCUGCCAGCCUGGAUCGUGGGAUUCCCACCUCCACAACUGGUGAAGAACACGAACACAGGGAGUUAGAGUCCCACAUGCUGAUAACUCCAUCAAGAGAGAAGAAAG